GGCCUAACACAUGCAAGUCGAACGCGGUUAGUAGCAAUACUAACUGAGUGGCGAACGGGUGAGUAACACGUGGGUGACCUACCUUCGAGUGGGGGAUAACGUCCCGAAAGGGACGCUAAUACCGCAUAACAUCCUUCCUUUGAACAGGAGGAGAUCAAAGCCGGGGAUCGCAAGACCUGGCGCUUGAUGAGGGGCCCGCGUCCGAUUAGCUAGUUGGUGAGGCAACGGCCCACCAAGGCGACGAUCGGUAACCGGCCUGAGAGGGCGGACGGUCACACUGGGACUGAGACACGGCCCAGACUCCUACGGGAGGCAGCAGUGGGGAAUUGUUCACAAUGGGCGCAAGCCUGAUGACGCAACGCCGCGUGGAGGAUGAAGGUCUUCGGAUUGUAAACUCCUGUUGCUCGGGACGAAUUGCUCCAACCUAAUACGUUGGAGUUUGACGGUACCGAGUGAGGAAGCCCCGGCUAACUCUGUGCCAGCAGCCGCGGUAAUACAGAGGGGGCAAGCGUUGUUCGGAAUUACUGGGCGUAAAGGGCGCGUAGGCGGCCUGUUAAGUCGAACGUGAAAUCCCCGGGCUCAACCCGGGAACUGCGUCCGAAACUGGCAGGCUCGAAUUCGGGAGAGGGAUGCGGAAUUCCAGGUGUAGCGGUGAAAUGCGUAGAUAUCUGGAGGAACAUCGGUGGCGAAGGCGGCAUCCUGGACCGAUAUUGACGCUGAGGCGCGAAAGCCAGGGGAGCAAACGGGAUUAGAUACCCCGGUAGUCCUGGCCCUAAACGAUGAAUGCUUGGUGUGGCGGGUAUCGAUCCCUGCCGUGCCGAAGCUAACGCAUUA
rnacentral:rRNA from 1 species